rnacentral:piRNA from 1 species
UGCGUUGUUAGCUGGAAGGACCUGU